rnacentral:rRNA from 1 species
GGUUAAGUUAGAAAGGGCGCACGGUGGAUGCCUUGGCACUAGGAGCCGAAGAAGGACGGGACUAACACCGAUAUGCUUUGGGGAGCUGUACGUAAGCGUUGAUCCAGAGAUUUCCGAAUGGGGGAACCCACUAUCUUUAGUCGGAUAGUAUCCUUACGUGAAUACAUAGCGUGAGGAAGGCAGACCCAGGGAACUGAAACAUCUAAGUACCUGGAGGAAGAGAAAGAAAAAUCGAUUUCCUGAGUAGCGGCGAGCGAAACGGAAAGAGCCCAAACCAAGAAGCUUGCUUCUUGGGGUUGUAGGACACUCUAUACGGAGUUACAAAAGAAAGUUAUAAAUGAAGCGGUCUGGAAAGGCCCGCCAAAGACGGUAACAGCCCGGUAGUUGAAAUGGCUUUCCCUCCAGAGUGGAUCCUGAGUACGGCGGAACACGUGAAAUUCCGUCGGAAUCCGGGAGGACCAUCUCCCAAGGCUAAAUACUCCCUAGUGACCGAUAGUGAACCAGUACCGUGAGGGAAAGGUGAAAAGCACCCCGGAAGGGGAGUGAAACAGUUCCUGAAACCGUGUGCCUACAAGUAGUUAGAGCCCGUUAAUGGGUGAUAGCGUGCCUUUUGUAGAAUGAACCGGCGAGUUACGAUUUGUUGCAAGGUUAAGCGGAAAAAGCGGAGCCGUAGCGAAAGCGAGUCUGAAUAGGGCGCAUAAGUAACAGGUCGUAGACCCGAAACCAGGUGAUCUACCCAUGUCCAGGAUGAAGGUAAGGUAAUACUUACUGGAGGUCCGAACCCACGCACGUUGAAAAGUGCGGGGAUGAGGUGUGGGUAGCGGAGAAAUUCCAAUCGAACUUGGAGAUAGCUGGUUCUCUCCGAAAUAGCUUUAGGGCUAGCCUCGAGGUAAAGAGUCAUGGAGGUAGAGCACUGUUUGGACUAGGGGCCCUUCUCGGGUUACCGAAUUCAGAUAAACUCCGAAUGCCAUGUACUUAUACUCGGGAGUCAGACUGCGAGUGAUAAGAUCCGUAGUCGAAAGGGAAACAGCCCAGACCACCAGUUAAGGUCCCCAAAUAUAUGUUAAGUGGAAAAGGAUGUGGGGUUGCUUAGACAACCAGGAUGUUGGCUUAGAAGCAGCCACCAUUGAAAGAGUGCGUAAUAGCUCACUGGUCGAGUGACCCCGCGCCGAAAAUGUACCGGGGCUAAACAUAUUACCGAAACUGUGGAUGAACCUCUUUAGAGGUUCGUGGUAGGAGAGCGUUCUAAGGGCGGUGAAGUCAGACCGGAAGGACUGGUGGAGCGCUUAGAAGUGAGAAUGCCGGUAUGAGUAGCGAAAGAAGGGUGAGAAUCCCUUCCACCGAAUAUCUAAGGUUUCCUGAGGAAGGCUCGUCCGCUCAGGGUUAGUCGGGACCUAAGCCGAGGCCGAUAGGCGUAGGCGAUGGACAACAGGUAGAGAUUCCUGUACCAGUGCUAAUUGUUUAACCGAUGGGGUGACACAGAAGGAUAGGGAAUCGCACGAAUGGAAAUGUGCGUCCAAGCAGUGAGUGUGAGAAGUAGGCAAAUCCGCUUCUCGCGAAGCAUGAGCUGUGAUGGGGAAGGAAAUUAAGUACGGAAGUUCCUGAUUUCACGCUGUCAAGAAAAGCCUCUAGGAAGAGUAGUACUGCCCGUACCGCAAACCGACACAGGUAGAUGAGGAGAGAAUCCUAAGGUGAGCGAGAGAACUCUCGUUAAGGAACUCGGCAAAAUGACCCCGUAACUUCGGGAGAAGGGGUGCUCUAUUAGGGUGCAAGCCCGAGAGAGCCGCAGUGAAUAGGCCCAGGCGACUGUUUAGCAAAAACACAGGUCUCUGCAAAACCGUAAGGUGACGUAUAGGGGCUGACGCCUGCCCGGUGCUGGAAGGUUAAGAGGAGUGCUUAGCUUCGGCGAAGGUACGAAUUGAAGCCCCAGUAAACGGCGGCCGUAACUAUAACGGUCCUAAGGUAGCGAAAUUCCUUGUCGGGUAAGUUCCGACCCGCACGAAAGGCGCAACGAUCUGGGCACUGUCUCAACGAGAGACUCGGUGAAAUUAUAGUACCUGUGAAGAUGCAGGUUACCCGCGACAGGACGGAAAGACCCCGUGGAGCUUUACUGCAACCUGAUAUGGAAUGUUUGUACCGCUUGUACAGGAUAGGUAGGAGCCGAAGAGACGUGUGCGCUAGCAUACGAGGAGGCAAUGGUGGGAUACUACCCUGGCUGUAUGACCAUUCUAACCCGCCACGCUUAGCGCGUGGGGAGACAGUGUCAGGUGGGCAGUUUGACUGGGGCGGUCGCCUCCUAAAGAGUAACGGAGGCGCCCAAAGGUUCCCUCAGAAUGGAUGGAAAUCAUUCGCAGAGUGUAAAGGCACAAGGGAGCUUGACUGCGAGACUGACAAGUCGAGCAGGGACGAAAGUCGGGCUUAGUGAUCCGGUGGUUCCGCAUGGAAGGGCCAUCGCUCAACGGAUAAAAGCU